rnacentral:rRNA from 1 species
ACGAACGCUGGCGGCGUGCUUAAGACAUGCAAGUCGAGCGGGGGGACCAGAGCAGCUUGCUGUGAGGGUUCCCUAGCGGCGGACGGGUGGAGUAACGCGUGGGCAACCUACCCGCGAAUCGGGGACAACAGUGGGAAACCGCUGCUAAUACCGGAUGAGCUUUUCUGACCGCAUGGUCGGGGAAGGAAAAGGCAGCCUCUGCAUAGCAAGCUGUCGUUCGCGGAUGGGCCCGCGUCCCAUUAGCUAGUUGGUGGAGGUAACGGCCCACCAAGGCGACGAUGGGUAGCCG